AAUCUGCCUUUAGGUCGGGGACAACAGUUGGAAACGACUGCUAAUACCGGAUGUGCAGCAAUGUGAAAGAUUUAUUGCCUAAAGAUGAGCUCGCGUCUGAUUAGCUAGUAGGUGUGGUAAUGGCGCACCUAGGCGACGAUCAGUAACUGGUCUGAGAGGAUGACCAGUCACACUGGGACUGAGACACGGCCCAGACUCCUACGGGAGGCAGCAGUGGGGAAUUUUCCGCAAUGGGCGCAAGCCUGACGGAGCAAUACCGCGUGAGG
rnacentral:rRNA from 1 species